GAGACAAGCCAGCGAACUUUCGCAGCGCAAGCUGUGAGGAAAGUCUGCCCAUCCAAAAGCUUGAAAGGUCUCGGAAGGGAUCUGGUAAGCACAGAAAAACACAAAUCGCACCGCAGAAUGAUGCUUGACGUUGGUGCAGAUUUGGUGAAAAUGCUUGCCAAAGCGGAUGCAAGUUGAAAAAACGCUUAGUAGAAUGUUCGCACAGCCAUCCUUGAGCUCAGCUUAAGGGGCUGCACAGAAGGCAGCUUAUAGGCUUGUCUC
rnacentral:RNase_P_RNA from 1 species